rnacentral:rRNA from 1 species
CAGUGGGGGGGCCCUAAUACAUGCAAGUCGAACGAGUUCUCGUUGAUGAUCGGUGCUUGCACCGAGAUUCAACAUGGAACGAGUGGCGGACGGGUGAGUAACACGUGGGUAACCUGCCCUUAAGUGGGGGAUAACAUUUGGAAACAGAUGCUAAUACCGCAUAGAUCCAAGAACCGCAUGGUUCUUGGCUGAAAGAUGGCGUAAGCUAUCGCUUUUGGAUGGACCCGCGGCGUAUUAGCUAGUUGGUGAGGUAAUGGCUCACCAAGGCGAUGAUACGUAGCCGAACUGAGAGGUUGAUCGGCCACAUUGGGACUGAGACACGGCCCAAACUCCUACGGGAGGCAGCAGUAGGGAAUCUUCCACAAUGGACGCAAGUCUGAUGGAGCAACGCCGCGUGAGUGAAGAAGGCUUUCGGGUCGUAAAACUCUGUUGUUGGAGAAGAAUGGUCGGCAGAGUAACUGUUGUCGGCGUGACGGUAUCCAACCAGAAAGCCACGGCUAACUACGUGCCAGCAGCCGCGGUAAUACGUAGGUGGCAAGCGUUAUCCGGAUUUAUUGGGCGUAAAGCGAGCGCAGGCGGUUUUUUAAGUCUGAUGUGAAAGCCCUCGGCUUAACCGAGGAAGCGCAUCGGAAACUGGGAAACUUGAGUGCAGAAGAGGACAGUGGAACUCCAUGUGUAGCGGUGAAAUGCGUAGAUAUAUGGAAGAACACCAGUGGCGAAGGCGGCUGUCUGGUCUGUAACUGACGCUGAGGCUCGAAAGCAUGGGUAGCGAACAGGAUUAGAUACCCUGGUAGUCCAUGCCGUAAACGAUGAAUGCUAGGUGUUGGAGGGUUUCCGCCCUUCAGUGCCGCAGCUAACGCAUUAAGCAUUCCGCCUGGGGAGUACGACCGCAAGGUUGAAACUCAAAGGAAUUGACGGGGGCCCGCACAAGCGGUGGAGCAUGUGGUUUAAUUCGAAGCAACGCGAAGAACCUUACCAGGUCUUGACAUCUUUUGAUCACCUGAGAGAUCAGGUUUCCCCUUCGGGGGCAAAAUGACAGGUGGUGCAUGGUUGUCGUCAGCUCGUGUCGUGAGAUGUUGGGUUAAGUCCCGCAACGAGCGCAACCCUUAUGACUAGUUGCCAGCAUUUAGUUGGGCACUCUAGUAAGACUGCCGGUGACAAACCGGAGGAAGGUGGGGAUGACGUCAAAUCAUCAUGCCCCUUAUGACCUGGGCUACACACGUGCUACAAUGGAUGGUACAACGAGUUGCGAGACCGCGAGGUCAAGCUAAUCUCUUAAAGCCAUUCUCAGUUCGGACUGUAGGCUGCAACUCGCCUACACGAAGUCGGAAUCGCUAGUAAUCGCGGAUCAGCACGCCGCGGUGAAUACGUUCCCGGGCCUUGUACACACCGCCCGUCACACCAUGAGAGUUUGUAACACCCGAAGCCGGUGGCGUAACCCUUUUAGGGAGCGAGCCGUCUAAGGGGGACA